rfam:Afipia sp. P52-10 contig000004, whole genome shotgun sequence.
CUCAAGGGGUUGAUCGCGAUUACCCCGUGAGGCGGCAGCCCAAACAUCGCGUCCAUACUCCCAAUCACGGGAUGGACGCUCAUG